ensembl:misc_RNA Y_RNA Y RNA
GGCUGGUCCGAAGGAAGUGAAUUAUCUCAAUUGAUUGUUCACAGUCAGUUACAGAUCAAAUUCUUUGUUAUACUUUCCCCCUUAUCGCUACUGUACUUGACCAAUCUUUA